rnacentral:rRNA from 1 species
ACGUAGCUAACCUACCCUUGGGACGGGUACAACCCCGGGAAACUGAGGUUAAUACCCGAUAGGUGUGGAAUCCUGGAAUGGUACCACGCCCAAAUGUAAACGCAUCCAUGUUUGCGUGCACGCCCGAGGAUGGGGCUGCGGCCGAUCAGGCAGUUGGUGAGGUAACGGCUCACCAAACCUUUGACCGGUACGGGCCAUGAGAGUGGUAGCCCGGAGAUGGGCACUGAGACAAGGGCCCAGGCCCUACGGGGCGCAGCAGGCGCGAAACCUCCACAAUUCACGAAAGUGAGAUGGGGUUACCUCGAGUGCCGCCUGAAGAAGGCGGCUUUUCCAUUGUGUAAUGAGCCGUGGGAAUAAGAGGGGGGCAAGACUGGUGUCAGCCGCCGCGGUAACACCAGCCCCUCGAGUGGUGGGGAUGAUUAUUUGGCCUAAAGCGUCCGUAGCCUGCUCUGUAAAUCUUUCGUUAAAUCCAGCGUCCUAAGCGUUGGGCUGCGAGAGAGACUGCAGAGCUAGAGGGUGGGAGAGGUCAGCGGUAUUCCUGGGGUAGGGGCGAAAUCCAUUGAUCCCAGGAGGACCACCAGUGGCGAAGGCUGCUGACUAGAACACGCCUGACGGUGAGGGACGAAAGCUGGGGUAGCGAAUCGGAUUAGAUACCCGAGUAGUCCCAGCCGUAAACGAUGCAGGCUAGGUGUUGGGUUGGCCACGUGCCAGCUCAGUGCCACAGGGAAGCCAUUAAGCCUGCCGCCUGGGGAGUACGGCCGCAAGGCUGAAACUUAAAGGAAUUGGCGGGGGAGCACCACCAGGCGUGAAGCCUGCGGUUUAAUUGGAGUCAACGCCGGG